GCGCGAAAACUUUACAAUGCGGGACACCGCGAUAAGGGGACCUCGAGUGCUGGCAUACAAUGCUGGCUGUCCAGCUGCCUAAAUAGCAGUUGAUAGCAAGGGCCGGGCAAGACCGGUGCCAGCCGCCGCGGUAACACCGGCGGCUCGAGUGGUAACCGCUAUUAUUGGGUCUAAAGGGUCUGUAGCCUGCAGGUUAAGUCUCUUGGUAAAUCCGGCAGCUCAACUGUCGGGGUUCAGGGGAUACUGGUCUGCUCGGGACCGGGAGAGGUGAGAGGUACCUCAGGGGUAGGGUGAAAUCUUGUAAUCCUUGAGGGACCACCAGUGGCGAAGGCGUCUCACCAGAACGGGUCCGACGGCAAGGGACGAAAGCUAGGGGCACGAACCGGAUUAGAUACCCUAGUA
rnacentral:rRNA from 1 species